rnacentral:rRNA from 1 species
AUUGAACGCUGGCGGCAGGCCUAACACAUGCAAGUCGAACGAGUGGCGGACGGGUGAGUAAUGUCUGGGAAACUGCCUGAUGGAGGGGGAUAACUACUGGAAACGGUAGCUAAUACCGCAUACCCUCAGAUGUGCCCAGAUGGGAUUAGCUUGUUGGUGGGGUAACGGCUCACAAAGGCGACGAUCCCUAGCUGGUCUGAGAGGAUGACCAGCCACGUUGGAACCGAGAAACGGUCCAGACUCCUACGGGAGGCAGCAGUGGGGAAUAUUGCACAAUGGGAGCAAGCCUGAUGCAGCCAUACCGCGGUUAUGAAGAAGGCCUUCGGGUUGUAAAGUACUUUCAGCUGGGAGGCGUUACCCGAAGAAGAAGCACCGGCUAACUCCGUGCCAGCAGCCGCGGUAAUAC